GAGGGUAUAGCUGAGUGGUAGAGUGCGCAUCUAGUAUGCACAAGGUCCUGGGUUCAAUCCCCAGUACCUCCA
rfam:Camelus ferus unplaced genomic scaffold scaffold2231, whole genome shotgun sequence.